AAAUACAACAAACAGUCAUCGUUGUUUCAAUCCUUUCUAAUAAUCUUGUUUCUCAAUCUUUCUGUCUUCUCAAUCUUUCUGUCUUCUCAAUUUUUCUGUGUUCUAUUCUAAACAAACGACAAUAACAACAACUUUGUUUCGACCUCUCAUUUCUCUCUAAUAUUUUUUUUCUCAAUUUUUCUGUGUUCUAUUCUAAACAAACGACAAUAACAACAACUUUGUUUCGACCUCUCAUUUCUCUCUAAUAUUCUUUUUCUCAAUUUUUCUGUGUUCUAUUCUAAACAAACGACAAUAAUAACAACAACAACUGUGUUCUCUUCUGAUGGAGUCACCACAUUCAUCACCAUGUUCUCGGAUUUCAUUUACGUCAACCCCAGCGGCACCAAAACCUAAUAAGAAACGAAAGAUAGAGUUUUUACAUGAUCACACUAUCGUCACCUCAUCAUACUUCCUCGCCACUGCAGAAAAGACGCUUACGGUUAAUGGAUGAAAUUAUAUAGCUUGGUGAGAUGCGAUUAGAACUGUUUCGUCUCAUCAACAACACUCAAGAAGCCAUGUAUGCUGAAAGAAAGAGGAAAAUCGCAUUCUUGAUGUCAUUUAGAUAGUAACUAACAACUUUUUAUUCAUUUCAAUUGAUUCUGUUAGGUUCUAGGUUGCUCAAUGUGGUUUGCUGAUUUUUUAUUUGUGGCAAGAAAUUGGGCUAAAGAUGAACAAACACGGAAGUGCUUAAGAGGUCAGCGGAAGACUUCUGCUUUUGCUUCUCCCAGAGUGACAGGGAAUUCUGGUGGAUCAGCCGAUGGGUUUUAAGAGUGAAAAAAACCAGAGAGUUUUAAGAGUGGAAAAAAAUGCAGAAUGAAUCACUCUAAGGAUUGCAGGGCUGUUAGUUCAUGUUUCGGAAAUUGGAGGUUUGCAAAGAUUUGUGGGCUAACUAUGAAAGAAUACUCAUGGAGUGCUGACUGGAUUUGUACAGAAGAGUCUGUACUGAAUCCAAGAGGAGGGUAAUGGUGUUUCACUGAUGAAGGAGGAUUGAUGUGCAAUGAUGCUUCACUGUUGAAGUGUGUAAUGAUUGAUGACUGCUUAAAGAAGACUUGUCAAUUAUAUGAUUCAAUGAAGAAUGAAGGUUUUGAAGUCGUUUGUAUGAAUGAAGAGUGAUAAGGAAACUGAGAAAAAAAAACCAGAGAGUUUUAAGAGUGAAAAAAAAUGCAGAAUGAAUCACUCUAAGGAUUGCAGGGCUGUUAGUGCAUGUUUCGGAAAUUGGAGGUUUGCAAAUAUUUGUGGCUAACUAUGAAAGAAUACUCAUGGAGUGCUGACUGGAUUUGUACAGAAGAGUUUUAGGUUUUGAGUGUAGAAGCAAUGUGUAUCUGCUUUUUCAUGCAUGUUGAUGUAUGGGAGCUUUUACUUGCUACAGGUGAAUUAGAGUUUUAGGGCCUAAGUAAGUUGUCACUUUACAAUCCCUGAGAGUGAGAAGGCUCUACACGAGUUUUACGGAUAUGCCUUGCAUCUUAUUGUAUUAUGUAUAGACACUAGGUUUUAUUCACCAUCUCAUCGAUGUACCCGGUUCUAUAGAGUAGCUUAGUUUUGCAGUAGUACAUUAGUUGCACUUAUAUUAACUGCACUGACCAAUAUGGGUUUUUUUGUCAUCAGGUCUAUUGCACAAUCCAAUUGGAAUUGGUUCUGGUUGUUAGUUUUACUUGAUUGUCAGAGUCUUUGCAGGCAGGUAGCACAACCUUGGUAUGCUCACAUCAUGAAUAUAUCAAAAUCAGUCUUAAAGUCAUUACAGGUACCGCAUCUUUGGUGUGUCAUGCUAUGCUCAUGAGUAUGAUGAAACAGAAAGGAAAUGCAACAUCUUAAAAACAUGGUAGGAAGUUUACCUUUGAUUUGAGCUGCUGGCCAUGCUUAAUAGUCCGGUCUUCAACCGUGCUGAGUGAAUGAGAUUCAUUGACAUGGGGGGCCUUCUGAAACAUUGGAAAUGGGCAGAGGCUGAAAACUUUGAGUGUCAGACUGUGUUUGAAGUGGGGAGUCAUGCCUCAAAUAUAAAUUCUGGUGUCCUUAAUGAAAGUUGAAGCAAAACAUUGGAAAUUUGAGUUGUUCUUCAUAAUGCCUAUUAAGCUCACGAGAUCUUGCGAAAGAAAUGGGAGAAGGAAGGUAUGUACGCUCUUGUCAUGAAUAGAUCAAAAUGAGUCUUGUUGUCAUUUAAGGGAGAGCAGCAAUUGAGGUUACAAAUGAAGGUGUUGAUGCUGCAGGACAUACAAUUGGUACAUCUUUGGAGGUCAUUUCCAACUUAGGAAGGUUCUCAACCCCGAGAGUAUCACACCUUUAGCUAAUGAUGCUGGUUUCUUUUGCUGUGAUCAUGUCAGACUUGAGGCCCUUAGAGGGAUUUGUCAUCGUCUCAGUUUUAUUCGAUACAACAUCUUGCCCUCAUACACCUUCACAAAAUGGGGUAGCCAGACGUAAAAAUAUGCAUCUUGUAGUAACCGCUUGGACCUUACUUCUCUAUGGUAAUGUUCCAUUCUGGUUAUGGGGGAUAUUAUGCUAAUAUGGCAUGUUACCCUAUAAACCUCAUGCCCUCGUCUGUCCUUAACAACAAUAUCCCUCAUUUAAUUUUGUUGUUUCCUUAUUCCCCCUUCACCCAAUUCCUCCUCGUGUCUUCGAGUCUACAAUAUUUGUUAAAGUAAAUGCUCGUGACGGUGACGGUACGGUGAUCGCCCAUGGUUCUCUUUCUCUCUCUUCCAGGUUACUCCUACCCUAUCUCAUAUCGAAACAUUGGGGACAAUGUUCGGUUUAAGCGCGAGAGGAGAUUUUUAUCGUUUUUUAUUGUUUUUCUUUAUUUUUAGUAUGUUUUGUGCGUUUUUAGUUGUUUGCUUUUCCUUUCAAUAAAAUAACAUGUGUUUGACGAGUCAUCUGUGUAGUGUAUCCGUAUUUCUUCCAUUUCUUUAAUCUUACCAAAAAAAAUUUGUGAGCAAAGAAAACAGUGCAUCUUGAAUAUUCAGGCUAUAAGACAGGUUUAUGACGAGAUUUAAAAGAUUUAGGAAAACCUUUUUUAAAAACAUGUAUUGUCUUAACACCGUAGGGUUCAUGAUUAUAAGAGUCUAUCCCGAUACCCCAUAUGCUGGCCCCAAUUUUUGUUCCAAAUAAGUCCUUAAGUAGUUUAUCCUUGCAGUCAGCUCCGGCUUAAGCAUGCUCUACGUAAGGGACCGAUGAAAAUAAGUGAAUGAUCACAAAAAAAUUUCCUGCUUUGUUCUCAAGUCAUAUGAAAAUUCGGGUU